rnacentral:rRNA from 1 species
CGAACGGGUGAGUAACGCGUGAGGAACCUGCCUCAAAGAGGGGGACAACAGUUGGAAACGACUGCUAAUACCGCAUAAGCCCACGGGUCGGCAUCAACCAGAGGGAAAAGGAGCAAUCCGCUUUGAGAUGGCCUCGCGUCCGAUUAGCUAGUUGGUGAGGUAAUGGCCCACCAAGGCAACGAUCGGUAGCCGGACUGAGAGGUUGAACGGCCACAUUGGGACUGAGACACGGCCCAGACUCCUACGGGAGGCAGCAUG